rnacentral:sRNA from 1 species
AUGGCUGUCGUCAGCUCGUGUCGUGAGAUGUUGGGUUAAGUCCCGCAACGAGCGCAACCCCUAUCCCAUGUUGCCAGCGGGUAAUGCCGGGGACUCAUGCGAGACUGCCGGUGACAAACCGGAGGAAGGUGGGGAUGACGUCAAGUCAUCAUGCCCCUUAUGUCCAGGGCUACACACGUGCUACAUUGGCGCGUACAGAGGGCUGCGAUACCGCGAGGUGGAGCGAAUCCCUUAAAGCGCGUCUCGGUUCGGAUUGCAGGCUGAAACCCGCCUGCAUGAAGGCGGAGUUGCUAGUAAUCGCGGAUCAGCAUUGCCGCGGUGAAUACGUUCCCGGGCCUUGUACACACCGCCCGUCACACCAUGGGAGUGAGCAACACCCGAAGCCGGUGGCCUAACCCUUUUGGGAGGGAGCCGUCGAAGGUGGGGCUCGUGACUGGGGUGAAGUCGUAACAAGGUAGCCGUAGCGGAAGCUGCGGCUGGAUCACCUCCUUUCUAGGGAGCCCGUAAUGGGCACCGAUCGUCCGCACGAUCGUCACUCGAGCUCUUGAGCUCUCGUAGACGUCUCCUGCGCGCACGAUCGGCCACUAGAUAUGUCGACCGGAUCUGGCAGGACGCGCGAACUCGGGCUAUGUCCGAGCGACACGCGUUCCGCAUGCUGUUGAGUUUUGAGAGACCGGCGCUACGGCCGGAGCUCAGAGGAUCUCGAUCCCACGGGCGCCGGCGGACACGCUCGCCUCUUCGCGGACCUUGAAAACUACACAGUAGCCAAUUAAACGGGUAUCACCGGGCGGAGCCGCAAGGCUUCUCCCAACAAGAUCACCGUCAAGAUAGUAAGGGCACACGGUGGAUGCCUAGGCACCAAGAGUCGAUGAAGGGCGUGAACGGCUGCGAUAAGCCGCGGUGAGGCGCUGAAUGGCCAGUGACCCGCGGAUGCCCGAAUGGGGAAACCCGG